CCGAGUUUACAACUCCCAAACCCCUGUGAACAUACCUACUUGUUGCCUCGGCGGAUCAGCCCGCGCCCCGUAAAACGGGACGGCCCGCCAGAGGACCCCUAAACUCUGUUUCUAUAGUGGAACUUCUGAGUAAAACCAUAAAAUAAAUCA
rnacentral:misc_RNA from 1 species